rnacentral:rRNA from 1 species
GUCCACGCCGUAAACGAUGGGUGCUAGGUGUGGGGGUGUCGACUCCCUCCGUGCCGAAGCUAACGCAUUAAGCACCCCGCCUGGGGAGGUACGGCCGCAAGGCUAAAACUCAAAGGAAUUGACGGGGGCCCCGCACAAGCAGCGGAGCAUGUGGUUUAAUUGGACGCGACGCCAAGAACCUUACCAAGGCUUGACAUGACCGAGAAAAGCGUGGAAACACGUUCCUCCUUCGGGACUCGGCCACAGGUGGUGCAUGGCUGUCGU